rnacentral:rRNA from 1 species
AGAGUUUGAUCCUGGCUCAGGAUGAACGCUAGCGGCAGGCUUAACACAUGCAAGUCGAGGGGCAGCGGGGAGGAAGCUUGCUUUCUCCGCCGGCGACCGGCGCACGGGUGAGUAACACGUAUGCAACCUGCCCCUGUCAGGGGGGACAACCCGCCGAAAGGCGGGCUAAACCCGCGUACAUGCCACCGGGGCAUCCCGGAGGCAGGAAAGGCUUCGGCCGGACAGGGAUGGGCAUGCGGCGCAUUAGGCAGUAGGCGGGGUAACGGCCCACCUAACCGACGAUGCGUAGGGGUUCUGAGAGGAAGGUCCCCCACACUGGUACUGAGACACGGACCAGACUCCUACGGGAGGCAGCAGUGAGGAAUAUUGGUCAAUGGUCGGGAGACUGAACCAGCCAAGCCGCGUGAGGGAGGAAGGUACAGAGUAUCGUAAACCUCUUUUGUCAGGGAACAAAGGCGGGGACGUGUCCCCGGAUGAGUGUACCUGAAGAAAAAGCAUCGGCUAACUCCGUGCCAGCAGCCGCGGUAAUACGGAGGAUGCGAGCGUUAUCCGGAUUUAUUGGGUUUAAAGGGUGCGCAGGCGGUCUGUUAAGUCAGCGGUCAAAGCCCGGGGCUCAACCCCGGCCCGCCGUUGAAACUGGCAGUCUCGAGUUGGAGAGAAGUAUGCGGAAUGCGCGGUGUAGCGGUGAAAUGCAUAGAUAUCGCGCAGAACUCCGAUUGCGAAGGCAGCAUGCCGGCUCCACACUGACGCUGAGGCACGAAAGCGUGGGUAUCGAACAGGAUUAGAUACCCUGGUAGUCCACGCAGUAAACGAUGAAUGCUGGCUGUCCGGGGGGAUUGACCCCUGGGUGGCGAAGCGAAAGCGAUAAGCAUUCCACCUGGGGAGUACGCCGGCAACGGUGAAACUCAAAGGAAUUGACGGGGGCCCGCACAAGCGGAGGAACAUGUGGUUUAAUUCGAUGAUACGCGAGGAACCUUACCCGGGCUCAAACGGGGAGUGACUCAGGCAGAGACGCCUGUUUCCCACGGGACACUCCCCGAGGUGCUGCAUGGUUGUCGUCAGCUCGUGCCGUGAGGUGUCGGCUUAAGUGCCAUAACGAGCGCAACCCCCGCGUGCAGUUGCUAACAGAUAACGCUGAGGACUCUGCACGGACUGCCGGCGCAAGCCGCGAGGAAGGCGGGGAUGACGUCAAAUCAGCACGGCCCUUACGUCCGGGGCGACACACGUGUUACAAUGGGUGGUACAGCGGGAAGCCAGGCGGCGACGCCGAGCGGAACCCGAAAUCCACUCUCAGUUCGGAUCGGAGUCUGCAACCCGACUCCGUGAAGCUGGAUUCGCUAGUAAUCGCGCAUCAGCCAUGGCGCGGUGAAUACGUUCCCGGGCCUUGUACACACCGCCCGUCAAG